UGAGUUACAGAGUAAGGCCCUGUCUCA
rnacentral:piRNA from 2 species